AACUUCGGUUUGGGUGGCGGACGGGUGUGUAACGCGUAAAGAACUUGCCUCACAGUUAGGGACAACAUUUGGAAACGAAUGCUAAUACCUGAUAUUGUGAUUUUAGGGCAUCCUAAGAUUAUGAAAGCUAUAUGCGCUGUGAGAGAGCUUUGCGUCCCAUUAGCUAGUUGGAGAGGUAACGGCUCACCAAGGCGAUGAUGGGUAGCCGGCCUGAGAGGGUGAACGGCCACAAGGGGACUGAGACACGGCCCUUACUCCUACGGGAGGCAGCAGUGGGGAAUAUUGGACAAUGGACCAAAAGUCUGAUCCAGCAAUUCUGUGUGCACGAUGACGUUUUUCGGAAUGUAAAGUGCUUUCAGUUGGGAAGAAAAAAAUGACGGUACCAACAGAAGAAGUGACGGCUAAAUACGUGCCAGCAGCCGCGGUAAUACGUAUGUCACAAGCGUUAUCCGGAUUUAUUGGGCGUAAAGCGCGUCUAGGUGGUUAUGUAAGUCUGAUGUGAAAAUGCAGGGCUCAACUCUGUAUUGCGUUGGAAACUGCAUGACUAGAGUACUGGAGAGGUAAGCGGAACUACAAGUGUAGAGGUGAAAUUCGUAGAUAUUUGUAGGAAUGCCGAUGGGGAAGCCAGCUUACUGGACAGAUACUGACGCUAAAGCGCGAAAGCGUGGGUAGCAAACAGGAUUAGAUACCCUGGUAGUCCACGCCGUAAACGAUGAUUACUAGGUGUU
rnacentral:rRNA from 1 species